UACAGAGGUCUCAAGCGUUGUUCGGAUUCAUUGGGCGUAAAGGGUGCGUAGGUGGCGCUGUAAGUCGGGUGUGAAAUUUCGGAGCUUAACUCCGAAACUGCAUUCGAUACUGCGGUGCUUGAGGACUGGAGAGGAGACUGGAAUUCAUGGUGUAGCAGUGAAAUGCGCAGAUAUCAGGAAGAACACCAAUGGCGAAAGCAGCUUUCUGGGACGGUACUGACGCUGAGACGCGAAAGCGUGGGGAGCGAACAGG
rnacentral:rRNA from 1 species